GCUGGAAGCGAUAAACUUUUAUGCUACAACCGGUGUCGUUUUUUGUUGGAACCAGCAAGAGCCUCGGGUGGGCACACGGCAAGGUACAGCGCGAGCACAACGAUAGGUGCUGCGGCCUGCGGCUGGCGCCACCGGAGAUGCGGUCAUCUCCCCCGGAGCUGCAAGCCUCCAACCACGAGUGCAACCAUGGGCGCACGUUGCUGCAUCCACGGAGGUGAGAAACGCAUGAAGGCGGCAUAGGUGAGGGCGGCGACCAGCGGCGAGGGCGACCGGUGGUGAGGAGGCAAGGCAAGGCAGUUGGCGCGUGCGGAGGCGUCGGCGCGUGCGAAGGUGGGCCUCUCCCUUUUCCGUGCGGGUUGAAGAUGGGAGAGGUUGGGGACGAAGGGAUCUGACGGCUCGGGGGCCCCAGAUCUGACAGCUGGGGCUUUAGGGCCGGUGCGCCGGCGCAGAUCACUGCACUAACCCUAUUCCUCCUCGGUCGUCGCCGCCACUGGCGCCGCUCCAGUAAACCCACCACUUCCCACACGUCCACAGCACUGGACGCUGCAAAUCAUUUUUCGGCCAGCCCUGAUCCUCCGCCGUGCUCGCUUCCUCGAGGGCAGCGAUGGACCUCGCUACGGCCUCCUCCGCCGUCGGCUGUGGCGCAUGCUACCCUGCUGGAAGUUGCUACUUUCUCCAGCCCUGCCCGCGGGAUUGAAGGUGUGUGCCCCCCAAUUAAGAACUUCUGAACACCCGAGUUGACAGUAAAACGGGACAGUAAAACUUGAAAUGUGGAUUUUGGUCCUAUUUGUUUGAAUUUUUGCUUAGCUUCAGGCUUCAAUUUCGAUGUGAAAGUUAAGAUUUAUUUCGCUUAAAUGUUGAGUACUCCCUCCGUUUCUAAAUAUAAGUAUUUUUAGAGAUUCCAAUAUAGACUAUAUACGGAGCAAAAUGAAUGAAUCUACACUCUAAAAUAGGUCUAUAUGCAUCCAUAUGUAGUUCUGAAAUCUCUAAGUCCUUGUACAAUGAUAGGUGCUUAGGGAGAUGUUUAGAAAAAUAAACCGGGUUUUCUGAAGCACCAAUGCCUAUUUCCACAGGAGAGACGCCUAAUUAAGCGUUUUUCCUGUACAAAUAAGCACCGGUGCUUAAGGAAAGCUUGUUUUAUUUCUCUAAGCAUCUUCCCUAAGCACCUAGCAUUGUACAAGGCCUAAAAAGACUUAUAUCUAGGAAGGGAGGGAGUACUAAGAGCAUCUCCAACUUCUUUCCCCUAUAAAAAAACUAUAGAGGGAGCUGGGCCAAAAGAAAAACAGCUCCAACAGAUCUAUUUAGGAGAUUUUUGGUGGAGGACAAAAUGUGUCCUUGACUUAUGCGGACUUUUCAAGGCCUAAAGAUUUAUAUUUAGGAAGGGAGGGAGUACUAACAGCAUUUCCAACUUCCUCUUUCCCCUAUAAAAAAACUAUAGAGGGAGCUGGGCCAAAAAAAAACCAGCUCCAAUAGAUCUAUUUAGGAGAUUUUUGGUGGAGGACAAAAGGUGUCCUUGACUUAUGUGGACUUUUUCUGCCGUGGCCACAUUAUAUGAAAUAGGCAUCAAGUCAAAUUUGCUGUCUACUUUCAAUUAGCCGCCUCAUACCAAAGUUUCCCACUCAAUGAGGAAUAGUAUUACUCUAGAAGUCUUUUGUCUUGUGCAAGUUGUCUGUAUGUAACUUGAUCAGGUACUCAGUACCUGAAAUAUACCUGCCAUUUGUUUCCUCACAAGACAUCCAAGUAGUAAUUUUCUUUGUGUGCACCUUUUACCUCCUUGGGUAUUGUUCCGUUGCGUGUUAAAGUGGAGAAACGACUUGACCCUGAAUAUUUUAGUUAUGCUAUAAAGUAGAUACAUGCAUUUGUUAACUAAUAAUUAGUCUAGACGCGGUUGUAAGAUUCUUCUCACUGAUUGGCAUUUGUGAACUGUUGUUGCUUGGUACCCCAAUAAUAAUUCUGGCAUUCAUGAACUGCUGUUGCUUGGUACCCCAAUAAACUCUUGGUGUUCAUGAACUGUUGUUGCUUGGUACCCCAAUAAUACUUUUGCGUACACCACCUCCUACGAGCAUACAUCACAUCGAUUUUCCGCACAACAGCAAGCUGAGGCCAACCUGGAAAGCAAAUAGCAGAGCAACCAUGACAGAAAUUGGGGGCAUGCUUGCCUCUGCCGUCCUCAAGGUGGUGACCCAGCAGAUUGGGUCAGUCAUUGGAAGCCAAGUUAGGAUGCAGAGGAACUUCAGUGAUGACCUUGAAAAGUUGAGGAUGCUGCUGGAGUCGGUAGAGGCGGUGCUCAAGGACGCUGAGAGGCGGUCAAUCAAGGACGCGGCAGUGCGUUUGUGGCUUGAGCGCCUCAAGAAUUCCAUGUAUGACAUCUCCAAUGUGAUUGAUGAGUUUGAAGCAAACACCAAACCAGCUGCUCGAAAGUUUGCAAUUAUGGUUUCCUGUCAUACAGUUGUUUCCAAGAUUACUAUGGCUAAUAAGAUGAAGAAGAUGACAGAGCAACUGGAGACCAUCACAAGUCAACACCGGAGUUUUAGUUUCACAACAGACAUUAGGUCUAACGUGCAGCGAUUUGUUGAUGUACGGGAAACAUCUUCAAAUGUGGAAGAAGCACUCAUAGUAGGAAGAAUUGAAGAAAAACAUAAAAUUAUGGCUUCCUUAUGUAAGAGCAUGGCACAAGAGAUCAUCCUACCAAUAUAUGGCAUUGGGGGUAUUGGCAAGACAACGUUAGCACAAUGGGUUUUCAAUUGUAGCCACUUCAAAGACUAUUGCAAGGUCUGGAUUUAUGUGUCACAGAAGUUUGACUUGAAUAAAAUUGGCAACUCCAUACUUUCUCAAAUAUCGGAGGAGCAGAUCCAGAUGACUGAAAGGCAGAUGAUAAAUAAUCGCCUCGGAAAGCUGCUUGCUGGUAAGAAGAUUCUGAUUAUUUUGGAUGACCUGUGGGAGAAGGAUCCAUCUCAGCUAGCAGAUUUACAGUGUAUGCUAAAGGUUGGCGGGGGGCACAAAGUGGUUGUAGUAACCACACGCGAUGAAGAGAUUGCAAUGAAAAUGUGUACAGUUGAACCAUUCAAGAUGGAGCCCUUAACCAAUGAUCUUUGCUGGACAAUAGUCAAACAAAAAUGUGCCUUUGAAUUUAGAGCUGAUAAAGAAAGGUUGGAACUGAUAGGGAGGGAGAUCGCAAAGAAGUGCGGAGGUGUGGCAUUAGCAGCUCAAUCCAUUGGGUACAUGUUACAGUCUAUGACAUAUGAUGAAUGGAGAUUGGUGAAAAACAGUGAUAUCUGGAACAUACUUGCUGCUGAAGAUGCAUCUUCACCUCAUCACGUGCCUGCAUCAUUGAAGUUAAGCUAUAGCAGUAUGCCUCCACUCUUAAAGUUAUGCUUUGCUUAUUGUGCAACCUUUCCUAAAGGUCACAGUAUAGUUAAAGAUGAUCUGAUUCAUCAGUGGAGUUCUCUUGGUUUUAUCAAGCCAGUGAACAUAUUCUCUACGAGGCAGCUUGGUGAGAAUUAUGUUAGUCAUCUAUUGGGCAUGUCCUUCCUUCAAUAUUCCAAGUCAGAUUUGACUGGACGAUUGCACGACAAAGAUGUUACUUUGUUCACCAUGCAUGACCUGGUGCAUGACCUUGCAAGAUCAAUCAUGGCUAAUGAAGUUCUGGAUGCUAGCAAAAAUGGAAGUAUUGGGGGAAGCAGUUGCCUGUACGCAAUGCUCACAGAUUGCAGCAAGCCACUGAAUUUAUCUGUGAUCUCUCCUGCGAAGAUAAGGACUCUGCGUUUCCUGGACUGUGGAAAAAUUGUUGUUUGUGGGGCUGCAUUUUCGUCAGCUAAGUACCUGCGGGUCUUAGACUUAAGUGAAUGCUCCAUACAGAAGUUGCCACAUUCUAUUGGUCGACUAAAGUAUUUGAGAUAUCUUAAUGCUCCACGCAUGCAAGAUCAAAUGAUCCCCAAGUGUAUCACAAAGCUCUCAAAAUUAAACUACCUCAACUUGCGUGGAUCUUCUAAACUUUUAGCACUGCCUGAAUCAAUGGGUAAUAUCGAAGAUCUGCUGCAUCUCGAUUUAUCGGGUUGUUGGAGAAUAGAAAAACUCCCGAAAUCAUUUGUAGAGCUCACAUCAUUGGUACAUCUAGAUUUAUCGCAAUGUUAUAUGGUUGAUGGUAUUCCGGAAGCUUUGCGAGUCUUUACCAAACUCCAAUAUUUGAAUUUGUCACUGCGCUAUUGGAUCCAAGCAGACAGGCAGCAUCUCAGAGGGCUACCAGAAGUCAUUGGCAAUCUCACCAAACUCCGAUAUUUAAAUCUAUCAUGGUGCAUGCGUGCUAUCUUUGCUGUCCCAUCAACAGAUAAAAUUAACAGUUCCCCUGGCCGGUGUUCUAUCUCUGAGAAUUCAUCAACAGAUCAAACUGACAGUUUCAUGGACCAUAUCUCUACACUUUCCAAUCUAGAGCAUCUGGACUUGUCUGAGAAUAUAUAUCUUGUUAGUAUACCUGAAUGUGUAGGCAGCCUUAGGAAGCUACACACACUGGACCUUUCAGGGUGUGAUGAAUUAGCAAGGCUUCCAGACAGUAUGGUUGAAAUGGAUAGUCUGAAGAUUCUAAAUGUAAAGGGCUGCCACGAACUGGAUAAUUCCAUUCUCUUUCGCUUCAACCUUUUCGCCUUGUUGCCACACUUUGUGGUGCAUGCCGGUGAUGGCGAAUCUAGCAGCAACUUUGUCCUGCUUCAGCAUGCAAAUCCUGAUGAACUGCAGAUAAGUAGAAUUGAAAAUGUGAAAUCUACGGAAGAGGUUCAGAGUAUAAAACUGGUGGAAAAACAAAGAAUAGUAGAAUUGAAAUUAGAAUGGACUGCAUAUGCUGAGAAGUUUGUGGAUGACUUGGAAGUGUUGGGAGAGUUAGUGCCACCGAGCACUUUAAAGAAAUUUGAGAUACAAGGUUAUAAUUGUGUCGACUUUCCAGCUUGGGUAUUGGAUAUUAGUCAUUACCUCCCAAAUCUUGUCAGCAUUAUGAUGGUGCAUUUGCCCAAAUGUAAUAACCUACCACCACUUGGCCAAUUACCAAACCUACAAUCAUUGGUACUUGAAAGAAUGCACAACAUUAUGAAAAUUGAUGAGGGCUUUACUGGUGGGGCGAGAGCAUUUCUUCGACUGGAGAGAUUAGAACUAACUGGUAUGGAAGGUCUGGAAGAAUGGACCACAAUAUACUCCAGUGGUGAGGAUGGUACGAACAAGCUCAUGUUCCCCAACCUUGAGAUAUUGAGGAUACGUGACUGCCCUAAGUUGAGGUUGAAACCUUGUCUACCUAGAGCUGCCUACUGGGUGAUAUGGAACAGUGAUAAUGUACUAUUGACACAGGGAGAGAGUGUGACGUGCACCAGUGCUUCCUCUUCUCCAGUAACUACAUUGGAUGUUGGGUCCUGCGAGCUGCCUCUGCAUCAGUGGAGGUUACUUCACCACCUCCCUGCGCUCUGUAAAUUAACUAUCAGCGAUUGCAAUGAUCUGACCAGCUCUUCAGACAUCAUUCGAGCUCUCUCCUCCCUCCAAUCACUGCAUAUCUCCUCUUGGAGAAGUAUGGCAUCACUCCCACUGUGGUUAGGAGAACUCAACUCUCUCAAGAAAUUUGAGAUCUGGGGAUUCAAGGGUAUUGGAGCUUUUCUAGAGAUCAUACAGCAGCUCACCAACCUCAAAGAACUACAAACAGUUUUUUGUCCUGAAUUAAAGCAGUGGUGUGAAUCAAAGGAGAACAAGCUGAAACUCGCUCACAUAAAAGAAACGGUUGGUCCAUCCCCAACUCAUUCCUCGUAUGCAGAAUGCUAGUGGAGGAAUGAGGCGGCGUCAGAAAAUUAAGGGAAUCAUCCUCCGAUGGACCAACUUAUUAUAGGAACCAAAGUGAUUGUGAUGCAAUGGCACGAUUCUUUGGUAGUUUUAGCAAUCCAGAUAAUGCCUUGCACACACCAGGCUCUAGGGAUAGGAGCAAAUUGUGGAUCAUUAAAAUUCAAACGUUAUAAUGAGAAUCAUCAGUUGGAAUAGGAUUAUAAGAUGUGGUGCACCCUCCAUUUGAUCCAAUCUUGGAGUUACGAUAUGAAAGGUAAAAAAGGGCAGGAAGUAUCCAAGCAAUGAUCCAAUAGUCAAUGAAGUCAGCCUUUUCUUUAAUAAAAAAGAGUUCCGCAAAAAGAGAGUCAAGAUCUACUCAAGAAAGGGGAACAGCACAAAGAACUCCAUGGACAGAUAAGUGUAAGUGACAUGCGUAUUGGUCCACCCAUUGCCCAGCAUUGCAUCAAAAG